rnacentral:lncRNA from 1 species
AUUCUUCCCUUGUGUACAUUUUUGCUAAUGGCAAAAGGGGGAAGAAACGGGAUAUCAAGAAGUAUGCUAUACUUCAUUCAUGCUUAAAGUGAGGGGGAACAUGAAUUGAGGGGGAACAUCAAAUUGCAUACUUUACACUUGUCUUGGAUUAUAAAUAAUUAUUGCAUAUAUCCCGCUUAUGUUUGCCAUUAUCAAAAAGGGGGAAAUUGUUGGAAACACGUUUCAAAUGCAAUAUACUAAACGUGUGUUCUUNNN